UUUCCCCUAGUAACUGCGAGUGAAGCGGGAAAAGCUCAAAUUUAAAAUCUGGCGGUUCUGCCGUCCGAGUUGUAAUCUGGAGAAGUGUUUUCCGUGCUGGACCGUGUACAAGUCUCUUGGAACAGAGCGUCAUAGAGGGUGAGAAUCCCGUCUUUGACACGGACUACCAGUGCUUCUGUGAUACACUCUCAAAGAGUCGAGUUGUUUGGGAAUGCAGCUCAAAAUGGGUGGUAAAUGCCAUCUAAAGCUAAAUAUUGGCGAGAGACCGAUAGCGAACAAGUACCGUGAGGGAAAGAUGAAAAGCACUUUGGAAAGAGAGUUAAACAGUACGUGAAAUUGUUGAAAGGGAAACGCUUGAAGUCAGUCGCGUUGCUUAGGAUUCAGCCUUGCUUUUUUGCUUGGUGUACUUCCUGGGUGACGGGCCAACAUCGAUUUUGACCGGUGGAUAAAGUCGAGGGGAAUGUGGCUCCUUUGGGAGUGUUAUAGCCCUUUGUCGCAUGCAUCGGUUGGGAUCGAGGACCGCAGCACGCCUUUUUGGCCGGGGUUCGCCCACGUAACGUGCUUAGGAUGUUGGCAUAAUGGCUUUAAUCGACCCGUCUUGAAACACGGACCAAGGAGUCUAACAUGCCCGCGAGUGUUAGGGUGGAAAACCCUUGCGCGUAAUUAAAGUGAAAGUUGGGACCCUUGUCAUGGGGGGCACCGACGCCCGGCCUUGAACUUCUGUGACGGCGCCGCGGUAGAGCGUGUAUGUUGGGACCCGAAAGAUGGUGAACUAUGCCUGAAUAGGGCGAAGCCAGAGGAAACUCUGGUGGAGGCUCGUAGCGAUUCUGACGUGCAAAUCGAUCGUCAAAUUUGGGUAUAGGGGCGAAAGACUAAUCG
rnacentral:rRNA from 1 species